GAAAAUACUUGUUUGAACUCGUGUUAAUUAUUUUAUAUAGCAACCAAUAAAAUUUAUGCAUUACUGAGGAUGAAAAUGAGUGGAGAAAUCGUCCGUACCUGCGAGAACAUUUUGCCUAAGAAUACAUUGAGUAUGUGAGAGGGAGAAAAUAUGUUAUUUGUUGUUGCGAUUGGUGGGAGAACAUGUUAUUUUUUGCUACAAAGAACAAAAUAAACGUUUGAACAUCGAAAAGAAAGGCAAAAACAAUAUGUGAUCAUCGUUGACAAUGCAUCACAGGCCAGAGUUGUGUGGAAAGAGUAGUAAAUGACGACAGUGUUCUUGGUUGGCAGUUAGUGGUGUACGUACCGUGAGGGUGAAGCAAGACGACGUAUUUCUCUUGCAAUUAUUUAAAUUUUUCGUUUUGUAUUGGAAAAAAGAAAGCAAUAUGUCACGUUUUAAUUAAAAUGCCGAAAUUUGAGUUCCAGCAAAAAAGUUAUUCAAUAGCGAAUAGCGAUGAAUCUGCCCAGUAAGCAUAACAACCAGUAAUAUUAAAAGAGGCAUACAUAGUCUUGGAAACUCCAAUACAAAACCAUUUUGGCUGGAAAAGCAAGAGGUUCUAUAUUUUUGUGGGAUGUCUUCAAUAUUUCCUUUGCUUCUAAAAGAAGGAACUGGACCAGAAUUUUGUUUGGACAAUUCAAUUAGUUGUAACUUUCCGGGAGAAGCAUUGUAACUGGGAAAUCCACUGGAAUACUUAUCAAAUUGCUUACCUUUGAGACACUCUCCCCGCCCUUGUGGCCCGUAACACAACAAAAUUCCAUCACCAGAAUUUUCCCCUCAACCACUUGACAGGCUGAAGGAUAAUUUGCAUAAGAUUUUGGUGAAAAAUGUCAAUACCAGUCCACACACACACUCACCGACAGCAUUCAAUGGUAAUUUGCAUGAUUUUGGGUUUGGAACAAUCAUCAAACUGUGAGUGUCAGCAAGCCAACCCGCCAACCAAAGCAACCAGUCAGCAAGCCAUGUGCCAUGUUAGCUGGGUCCCAUAUUUGUAUUUGAUUUAAUAAAUUUUAAUGCAUUUGUUUUUUGAGGGGAGUUGACAAAACACAGCCUACACAGGCAUUUUAAAAAAUGGAAAAUAAAAAUAUUCGAAUUUGAUAUAUGUUCUAAAGGUACUAUGUAUGGAGAUAUGCAAUAAAUUAAAAAAUAUAUGUAUAU